CGAUGGUAUGGACGCGAAAGAAUGUGGUGGUCAGACUAUGCAAUUGAGAUUGGCAGGAUUUGUGUGUUGGGCUUCUUAGAUGCGCUACAUAUACAACUUAAAGGCUUUGAUCAUUAAGUCCAUGAUGCUUCCUUCCAACAUGUUGAUAACCAUGCUAAUUGAAGGUCUAUUUUCUGGCUUUAUCUGUAUGCACCAUAAACCCACUAUCAUCAUCUUUUUUGCAAUUUCUUUAGUCUUAGGAUUAGCAUCAGUCUCAGGACUAACAAGACUAGUAUCAGGAGUGACCA